rnacentral:tRNA from 1 species
UCCCUGGUGGUCCAGUGGCUAAGACUCCACACUCCUAGUGUAGGGGUCCCGGGUUCGAUCCCUGUCCAGGGAA